UUUAAUUCGAUGAUACGCGAGGAACCUUACCCGGGCUUGAAAUGCAUCUGACCGACGAGGAAACUUGUCUUCUAGCAAUAGCAGAUGUGUAGGUGCUGCAUGGUUGUCGUCAGCUCGUGCCGUGAGGUGUCGGCUUAAGUGCCAUAACGAGCGCAACCCCUAUCAUUAGUUACUAACAGGUUAAGCUGAGGACUCUAAUGAGACUGCCACCGUAAGGUGUGAGGAAGGUGGGGAUGACGUCAAAUCAGCACGGCCCUUACGUCCGGGGCGACACACGUGUUACAAUGGGGGGUACAGAGGGUUGCUACUUGGUGACAAGAUGCUAAUCUCUUAAAGCCUCUCUCAGUUCGGAUCGGAGUCUGCAACUCGACUCCGUGAAGCUGGAUUCGCUAGUAAUCGCGCAUCAGCCAUGGCG
rnacentral:rRNA from 1 species